rnacentral:misc_RNA from 1 species
ACGUCCUCUCGUGCAUGCCUCUUCAUUUGUGGUCCAAGAGCAAUGUGAGCCUUGGCCGAGUGUCGGGUUUCCUGUGUUGCGUACCUACUGCGAAGGCAUUCGCUUGUCCCAUCGUCCCUCGUUCCUCUUGUGUGGCCCUUUGGGUGCCCGGCACGGGAUGAACCACGAAGCUUUCUUUGCGAUCCACGGCACGCCCGUCGUGUCCGUGGCUCGCGGAGUUUUGCUCGAUCUCUUGGAUGCGGAACGCCCCGAGGGUAUGGGGUCUCACGACCUCUGUUUUGCCCGAACAAGCGUUCGUCGCUAACUAGCGUACGACCGCCGCUCCCGCCUCGAGCUGUCGUCCCUUCGGGCGGCCUGCUCAUGCGGUGACGGCGUCGUUGAGGAAUGCU